GACGAACGCUGGCGGCGUGCUUAACACAUGCCAGUCGAACGAUGAAGCCUAGCUUGCUAGGUGGAUUAGUGGCGAACGGGUGAGUAAUACGUGAGUAACCUACCUUUAACUCUGGGAUAAGCCCGGGAAACUGGGUCUAAUACCGGAUACGACCAAUCUCCGCAUGGGGUGUUGGUGGAAAGCGUUAUGUAGUGGUUAUAGAUGGGCUCACGGCCUAUCAGCUUGUUGGUGAGGUAACGGCUCACCAAGGCGACGACGGGUAGCCGGCCUGAGAGGGUGACCGGCCACACUGGGACUGAGACACGGCCCAGACUCCUACGGGAGGCAGCAGUGGGGAAUAUUGCACAAUGGGCGCAAGCCUGAUGCAGCGACGCCGCGUGAGGGAUGACGGCCUUCGGGUUGUAAACCUCUGUUAGCAGGGAAGAAGAGAGAUUGACGGUACCUGCAGAGAAAGCGCCGGCUAACUACGUG
rnacentral:rRNA from 1 species